rfam:Brassica napus, WGS project CCCW01000000 data, contig: 26400
GGAUGAUCUAUAUCAGCACUAAUACACAAGAUUCCAUAAGAAUUCUAUAGUUAAACAUAUCUGGACGAGAAUAUUAAUAAGAUGAGUGAUUUUCUGAAAAGUGUUAGUGUUACAACCC